rnacentral:rRNA from 1 species
UCCUACGGGAGGCAGCAGUAGGGAAUAUUGCACAAUGGGCGAAAGCCUGAAGCAGCAACGCCGCGUGCGCGAUGAAGGCCUUCGGGUCGUAAAGCGCUUUCC